AAAAAAUUAGUUAAUUAUAAAUAACAUUAAAUUGUCAUUUUAAAAUAAUUACUAAGUAAUAUUUUUUA
rnacentral:tRNA from 1 species